rnacentral:rRNA from 1 species
GAAGCCGGAAUUGCUAGUAAUGGCAGGUCAGCAUACUGCCGUGAAUACGUUCCCGGGCCUUGUACACACCGCCCGUCACACCAUGAGAGUUGGGAAUACCCGAAGCCUGUGAGCUAACGUUAAGAGGCAGCAGUCGAAGGUAGAAUCAAUGAUUGGGGUGAAGUCGUAACAAGGUAGC